rnacentral:rRNA from 1 species
AGAGUUUGAUCCUGGCUCAGAUUGAACGCUGGCGGCAUGCCUUACACAUGCAAGUCGAACGGCAGCACGAGAGCUUGCUCUUGGUGGCGAGUGGCGAACGGGUGAGUAAUAUAUCGGAACGUACCCUAGAGUGGGGGAUAACGUAGCGAAAGUUACGCUAAUACCGCAUACGAUCUACGGAUGAAAGUGGGGGAUCGCAAGACCUCAUGCUCAUGGAGCGGCCGAUAUCUGAUUAGCUAGUUGGUGGGGUAAAAGCUCACCAAGGCGACGAUCAGUAGCUGGUCUGAGAGGACGACCAGCCACACUGGAACUGAGACACGGUCCAGACUCCUACGGGAGGCAGCAGUGGGGAAUUUUGGACAAUGGGCGCAAGCCUGAUCCAGCAAUGCCGCGUGAGUGAAGAAGGCCUUCGGGUUGUAAAGCUCUUUUGUCAGGGAAGAAACGGUGGACUCUAAUACAGAUCACUAAUGACGGUACCUGAAGAAUAAGCACCGGCUAACUACGUGCCAGCAGCCGCGGUAAUACGUAGGGUGCAAGCGUUAAUCGGAAUUACUGGGCGUAAAGCGUGCGCAGGCGGUUGUGCAAGACAGAUGUGAAAUCCCCGGGCUCAACCUGGGAAUUGCAUUUGUGACUGCACGGCUAGAGUGUGUCAGAGGGGGGUAGAAUUCCACGUGUAGCAGUGAAAUGCGUAGAGAUGUGGAGGAAUACCGAUGGCGAAGGCAGCCCCCUGGGAUAACACUGACGCUCAUGCACGAAAGCGUGGGGAGCAAACAGGAUUAGAUACCCUGGUAGUCCACGCCCUAAGCGAUGUCUACUAGUUGUCGGGUCUUAAUUGACUUGGUAACGCAGCUAACGCGUGAAGUAGACCGCCUGGGGAGUACGGUCGCAAGAUUAAAACUCAAAGGAAUUGACGGGGACCCGCACAAGCGGUGGAUGAUGUGGAUUAAUUCGAUGCAACGCGAAAAACCUUACCUACCCUUGACAUGUCUGGAAUCCUUGAGAGAUCAGGGAGUGCUCGAAAGAGAAUCAGAACACAGGUGCUGCAUGGCUGUCGUCAGCUCGUGUCGUGAGAUGUUGGGUUAAGUCCCGCAACGAGCGCAACCCUUGUCAUUAGUUGCUACGAAAGGGCACUCUAAUGAGACUGCCGGUGACAAACCGGAGGAAGGUGGGGAUGACGUCAAGUCCUCAUGGCCCUUAUGGGUAGGGCUUCACACGUCAUACAAUGGUACAUACAGAGGGCCGCCAACCCGCGAGGGGGAGCUAAUCCCAGAAAGUGUAUCGUAGUCCGGAUUGUAGUCUGCAACUCGACUACAUGAAGUUGGAAUCGCUAGUAAUCGCGGAUCAGCAUGUCGCGGUGAAUACGUUCCCGGGUCUUGUACACACCGCCCGUCACACCAUGGGAGCGGGUUUCACCAGAAGUGGGUAGCCUAACCGCAAGGAGGGCGCUCACCACGGUGGGAUUCGUGACUGGGGUGAAGUCGUAACAAGGUA